AGCUCCAAAUGAUAUUUGAAGUGUAACCUGCCCAGUGAUUUGAAAAAAGUUGCCCAAACCCGACAAAACAAAUUAAAAGGACGCGGUAUUCUUGACCGUGAUAAUGUAGCACAAUCACGCGCCGCCUAAUUAGCGGAUAGUAUGAAUGGUCAAACGAAAAUUUGAUUGUCUUAAGAAAUAAUGUACUAAAAAUUUAAAUAGUAGUUAAGAUGCUACUUAAAUUUGUAAGACGAUAAGACCCUAUAAAGCUUAACUAUAAAACCUUUCCUAAUCUAAUACAACAAUUGAAAGGGGUUUUGGUAGUUUCAUUGGGGCGAUGGCCUUUUAAAAAAAACAAAGGUAAGCAAAAACUAAACUGAAACACGGAUUUAUUGUAUAAAAAAUCAUUUUAACAAUUACGAAGUAGGCCAAAAUGACCCGUUAAAAUAAAAAACAACUUUAUUAACGAUCAAUAAAUAAAAGCUACUUUAGGGAUAACAGGGUAAAAUUGUCCUAGAGACCUUAUCAAAGACAAAAAUUACCACCUCGAUGUUGAAUUAAGAUACCCAGACGACGUAGAAAAUGUCAAAGGUAGGUCUGUUCGACCUAUAAAAUCUUA
rnacentral:rRNA from 1 species